UGCCAGCCGCCGCGGUAAUACGGAGGGUCCAAGCGUUAUCCGGAUUUAUUGGGUUUAAAGGGUCCGUAGGCGGGAAAAUAAGUCAGUGGUGAAAGCCUGCAGCUUAACUGCAGAACUGCCAUUGAAACUGUUUUUCUUGAGUAUAGAUGAAGUGGGCGGAAUGUAUCAUGUAGCGGUGAAAUGCAUAGAUAUUACACAGAACACCGAUUGCGAAGGCAGCUUGCUAAACUAUGAUUGACGCUGAUGCACGAAAGCGUGGGGAGCGAACAGGAUUAGAUA
rnacentral:rRNA from 1 species